rnacentral:rRNA from 1 species
AUUGAACGCUGGCGGCAUGCCUUACACAUGCAAGUCGAACGGCAGCAUGAUCUAGCUUGCUAGAUUGAUUGCGAGUGGCGAACGGGUGAGUAAUACAUCGGAACGUGCCCUGUAGUGGGGGAUAACUAGUCGAAAGAUUAGCUAAUACCGCAUACGACCUGAGGGUGAAAGUGGGGGACCGCAAGGCCUCAUGCUAUAGGAGCGGCCGAUGUCUGAUUAGCUAGUUGGUGAGGUAAAGGCUCACCAAGGCGACGAUCAGUAGCUGGUCUGAGAGGACGAUCGGCCACACUGGGACUGAGACACGGCCCAGACUCCUACGGGAGGCAGCAGUGGGGAAUUUUGGACAAUGGGCGAAAGCCUGAUCCAGCAAUGCCGCGUGUGUGAAGAAGGCCUUCGGGUUGUAAAGCACUUUUGUCCGGAAAGAAAUGGCUCUGGUUAAUACCUGGGGUCGAUGACGGUACCGGAAGAAUAAGGACCGGCUAACUACGUG